rnacentral:rRNA from 1 species
AGCGAACGCUGGCGGCAGGCCUAACACAUGCAAGUCGAACGAACCCUUCGGGGUUAGUGGCGGACGGGUGAGUAACACGUGGGAACGUGCCUUUAGGUUCGGAAUAACUCAGGGAAACUUGUGCUAAUACCGAAUGUGCCCUUCGGGGGAAAGAUUUAUCGCCUUUAGGGCGGCCCGCGGCUGAUUAGCUAGUUGGUGAGGUAAUGGCUCACCAAGGCUACGAUCAGUAGCUGGUUUGAGAGGAUGACCAGCCACAUUGGGACUGGGACACGGCCCAAACGCCUACGGGAGGCAGCAGUGGGGAAUCUUGCGCAAUGGGCGAAAGCCUGACGCAGCCAUGCCGCGUGGAUGAUGAAGGUCUUAGGAUUGUAAAAUCCUUUCACCGGUGAAGAUAAUGACUGUAGCCGGAGAAGAAGCCCCGGCUAACUUCGUGCCAGCCGCCGCCGUAACAC